AAAGAACAUUCCCGCUUGCCCAUCUCUUGGUUGGACUUCACCCCCACAACCAUGCCUCCCUCUCCUUUGGCCACACCAUGAAACCAUUUCUUGGCAUGGGAAAUGUUAAAAAUUCCAAGCUUCAAGGCCAAGGUUCUCUUCAUCUUCUUCUUCAUCUUGCUACAACCUUGGAGAACUUGAUUGGUUGGAGGUUGGAGAGAGAGCUCUAGAGUGGAGUGGCUUCUUCUCUAUAGCUAUUUGGGAUAUCUCAAGAAUGGUUGAUUGGCUUUGGGAGUGGGUUAAAAUGGGAGCUAUUCCAAACAGACACCAGCAAGUUCUAAAUGAAGCCUCUCAGAAAAUCAAGCGCUCACUCAACUUUCUUAGAGCAAAAGAUUCCUCCUCUGCUGGCAACCUUGACCCUCGGGUU